GAUGCUAAUACCGGAUAACAAACAGAUGAUGCCUAUCAACUGUUUAAAAGAUGGUUCUGCUAUCACUCUUGGAUGGACCUGCGGUGCAUUAGCUAGUUGGUAGGGUAACGGCCUACCAAGGCGAUGAUGCAUAGCCGAGUUGAGAGACUGAUCGGCCACAUUGGGACUGAGACACGGCCCAAACUCCUACGGGAGGCAGCAGCG
rnacentral:rRNA from 1 species